AUUGAACGCUGGCGGAAUGCUUUACACAUGCAAGUCGGACGGCAGCACGGACUUCGGUCUGGUGGCGAGUGGCGAACGGGUGAGUAAUGUAUCGGAACGUGCCCAGUCGUGGGGGAUAACGUAGUGAAAAUUACGCUAAUACCGCAUACGACCUAUGGAUGAAAGCGGGGGAUCGCAAGACCUCCGGCGAUUGGAGCGGCCGAUAUCAGAUUAGGUAGGUGGUGGGGUAAAGGCCACCCAAGCCAACGAUCUGUAGCUGGUCUUAGAGGACGACCAGCCACACUGGAACUGAGACACGGUCCAGACUCCUACGGGAGGCAGCAGUGGGGAAUCUUGGACAAUGGGCGAAAGCCUGAUCCAGCCAUUCCGCGUGCAGGAUGAAGGCCCUCGGGUUGUAAACUGCUUUUGUACAGAACGAAAAGGUUUCUACUAAUAUUAGGAGCUCAUGACGGUACUGUAAGAAUAAGCACCGGCUAACUACGUGCCAGCAGCCGCCGCCG
rnacentral:rRNA from 1 species